AUGACUCUCAGAAGAAAUGUUCCUGCAGGCAAAAUAAUGCUUUCAGUUAACAGAUUAGAAACGUCAACCCAUAAUUCCAUGAUUCAUAAAUUUAAGAGGAAAACAAAAGGAAGUUAAGGCUUGCAGUCCCACAGUUUCUGCAUUGACUAAUUAUUAAUUCAAUAAAACAAAUCCCAUUUUCAUAUGAACUAACGACCCUUGAUAAUAAAAUAAACCAGGAUGGCUUCAUUGAUGCUAUAUGAUGAACUUAAUGAAAAUUUAAAAUUUUAAGAGGACAAAGGAUCCCAAGAAACAAUUGGCAAAGGAUAAGACUUUCUCUAU
rnacentral:misc_RNA from 1 species